UUCGCAAUGCCCGAAAGGGUGACGAUGCGACGCCGCGUGAGCGAAGAAGGCCCUAGGGUUGUAAAGCUCUGUCGAGGGUUAUGAAAUAUAGAUGGGUUAAUACCCCAUUUAUUUGACAAAAGCCCAAAAGGAAGCCACGGCUAACUCUGUGCCAGCAGCCGCGGUAAUACAGAGGUGGCGAGCGUUGUUCGGUAUUAUUGGGCGUAAAGAGCACGUAGGUGGUUUUGUAAGUCAGGUGUGAAAGCCUUCUGUUCAAAGGAAGAACGGCAUCUGAAACUGCAGAUCUUGAGUGUAGGAGGGGAGAGUGGAACUUCUGGUGGAGCGGUGAAAUGCGUAGAUAUCAGAAGGAACGUCGGCGGCGAAAGCGACUCUCUGGCCCAUUACUGACACUGAGGUGCGAAAGUUAGGGGAGCAAACGGGAUUAGAUACCCCGGUAGUCCUAACCGUAAACGAUGGGCACUAAGUAGAGGGGUUUU
rnacentral:rRNA from 1 species